ensembl:lncRNA
GUGUGGGAGCGGCGGCUUCACCGGCGCGGGCGGGCGGGCGGCGGCCGCGCUUCCCUCGCUCCUCGGCGGCGGGGACCGAGAGAGGGAGCUGUGUCUGAGGAGACGCCAAAAUCCCCCUUAGCGCAGACAAUACAAGCGCCUCGGAGCGAGUCCCCGAACCUGCCCUAGCCAAAAUGGCGGCCGAGAAAGAGCGGAAGUGACGUCUGCUGUUGCUGGCACUUGACAUUCUUCCAACUCAGUCAUGGACUCUCCUCUUUGGCCUGAAGAAACAAGUGGAAUCCCCAGUGUUUUGAGGCCAGUGGACUGGUGAAGCCGAAGGAUGAAGUGAUGUCGCCAAUGGCCCUCCACAAGAUCCUUAAGAACACUUUGUAAUCCUAGGGCAAGUUCUAGUGCUCCCACAAUCUGGAUAGCAUGACAGCACAUGGACAGAGUGCUUGAAAACGUUAGGCCAGUCCCAACACUUAUCGUAGAGUGCAUCUGAGAGUGUAUCAUUGGUGAAAUGUAUUUAAAAGUAAUAAAAGCCAAUGGUUAAGG